CUACUUAACUGGCAGGGGAGACACCAUGAUCACGUAGGUGGUUUUCCCAGGGUGAGGCUCCGCCAUUGCACUUUGGGCUGUGCUGACCCCUGCGAUUUCCCCAAGUGCGGGAAACUCGACUGCAUAAUUGGUGGUAGUGGGGGACUGCGUUCGCACUCUCCCCUG
rnacentral:snRNA from 1 species